rnacentral:rRNA from 1 species
UACGGAGGAUCCAAGCGUUAUCCGGAUUUAUUGGGUUUAAAGGGUGCGUAGGUGGCUUUUUAAGUCAGGGGUGAAAGACGGUAGCUUAACUAUCGCAGUGCCUUUGAUACUGAAGAGCUUGAAUGAACUAGAGGUAGGCGGAAUGUGACAAGUAGCGGUGAAAUGCAUAGAUAUGUCACAGAACACCAAUUGCGAAGGCAGCUUACUAUGGUUUUAUUGACACUGAGGCACGAAAGCGUGGGGAUCAAACGGG